UGGGGAAUAUUGGACAAUGGGCGAAAGCCUGAUCCAGCCAUGCCGCGUGUGUGAAGAAGGUCUUCGGAUUGUAAAGCACUUUAAGUUGGGAGGAAGGGCAGUAAGCGAAUACCUUGCUGUUUUGACGUUACCGACAGAAUAAGCACCGGCUAACUCUGUGCCAGCAGCCGCGGUAAUACAGAGGGUGCAAGCGUUAAUCGGAAUUACUGGGCGUAAAGCGCGCGUAGGUGGUUCGUUAAGUUGAAUGUGAAAGCCCCGGGCUCAACCUGGGGACUGCAUCCAAAACUGGCGAGCUAGAGGAGGGGAGAGGGUGGUGGAAGUUCCUGUGUAGCAGUGAAAUGCGUAGAUAGAGGAAGGAACACCAGUGGCGAAGGCGACCACCUGGGCUCAUACUGACACUGAGGUGCGAAAGGGUGGGGAGCAAACAGG
rnacentral:rRNA from 1 species